rnacentral:rRNA from 1 species
AACGAACGCUGGCGGCAUGCCUAACACAUGCAAGUCGAACGAGACCUUCGGGGCUAGUGGCGCACGGGUGCGUAACGCGUGGGAACCUGCCCUUAGGUUCGGAAUAACUCCCCGAAAGGGGUGCUAAUACCGGAUAAUGUCUUCGGACCAAAGAUUUAUCGACUUUGGAUGGGCCCGCGUUGGAUUAGCUAGUUGGUAGGGUAAAUGCCUACCAAGGCGACGAUCCAUAGCUGGUCUGAGAGGAUGAUCAGCCACACUGGGACUGAGACACGGCCCAGACUCCUACGGGAAGCAGCAGUGGGGAAUAUUGGACAAUGGGCGAAAGCCUGAUCCAGCAAUGCCGCGUGAGUGAUGAAGGCCUUAGGGUUGUAAAGCUCUUUUACCCGGGCUGAUAAUGACAGUACCGGGAGAAUAAGCUCCGGCUAACUCCGUG